rnacentral:rRNA from 1 species
GAUGAACGCUGGCGGCGUGCCUAAUACAUGCAAGUCGAGCGAACAGACGAGGAGCUUGCUCCUCUGACGUUAGCGGCGGACGGGUGAGUAACACGUGGAUAACCUACCUAUAAGACUGGGAUAACUUCGGGAAACCGGAGCUAAUACCGGAUAAUAUAUUGAACCGCAGGGUUCAAUAGUGAAAGACGGUUUUGCUGUCACUUAUAGAUGGAUCCGCGCCGCAUUAGCUAGUUGGUAAGGUAACGGCUUACCAAGGCAACGAUGCGUAGCCGACCUGAGAGGGUGAUCGGCCACACUGGAACUGAGACACGGUCCAGACUCCUACGGGAGGCAGCAGUAGGGAAUCUUCCGCAAUGGGCGAAAGCCUGACGGAGCCACGCCGCGUGAGUGAUGAAGGUCUUCGGAUCGUAAACCUCUGUUAUUAGGGAAGAACAACUGUGUAAGUAACUAUGCACGUCUUGACGGUACCUAAUCAGAAAGCCACGGCUAACUACGUG